rnacentral:misc_RNA from 1 species
GUAUUGAUUGCGUGUGACCGCAAAAACAAAACAUUCUAGACUGUAUCAAAUUUUGUGUGAAAACGUGAGCCCUCCUGCAAAGGGGGGACCCGCGCGGUGAUGCACAAAGGGGUGAGAUGGAUUUUGUGCGAGAGCGCUCGGGCGUGCACGACCUUUGGAGGUCAGCGACAGCCUUUGCGCCUCCGUUGUACGAUAAUGAUCCUUCCGCAGGUUCACCUACGGAAA